GCCUACGGCCAUGCUACCGUGAACAAGCCCGAUCACAUCUGAUCUCAGAAGCUAAGCAGGGUCAGACCUGGUUAGUACUUGAGACCACCUAGGAAGACCAGGUGCUGUACACG
rnacentral:rRNA from 1 species